rnacentral:sRNA from 1 species
ACACCCGUGUUAUUGCUGUAAGUGGGCUUUCGACCGAGCUUAGCUUUGUUCAUUUUUUUACACAAUAUAUCUGUAAAAAAUCAAACACACCCCGCUGAGCACCGCGACAUCACAGGGUUUGAGAGCCACAUAACAGCCCUUCAACGCCCCAAAAACGGCCAUAACGCCCCGCUUCGGGGCAU